rnacentral:tRNA from 1 species
GCGGAUAUGGCGUAAUUGGUAGCCGCGCUAGACUUAGGAUCUAGUUCCUCACGGAGUGGGAGUUCGAGUCUCCCUAUCCGCA